rnacentral:rRNA from 1 species
GCUGGCGGCGUGCCUCAGACAUGCAAGUCGGACGAGAAAGUUCCCUUCGGGGAGCGAGUAAAGUGGCGCACGGGUGAGUAACACGUAGGUAAUCUACCUUCGGGUGGGGAAUAACGCAGGGAAACUUGCGCUAACACCGCAUAAUGCAGCGGCACCACAUGGUGACAGUUGUUAAAGCGGGGGAUUUUAGGACCUCGCGCCUGAAGAGGAGCCUGCGGCGGAUUAGCUAGUUGGUAGGGUAACGGCUUACCAAGGCGACGAUCCGUAACCGGCCUGAGAGGGCGGUCGGUCACACUGACACUGACAUACGGGUCAGACUCCUACGGGAGGCAGCAGUCGGGAAUUUUGGGCAAUGGGCGAAAGCCUGACCCAGCAACGCCGCGUGAAGGAUGAAAUCCCUCGGGAUGUAAACUUCGCAAGAAUGGGAAGAAUUAGUAGGGGCUAAUACUCCCUAUGAUGACGGUACCAUUUGUAAGCUCCGGCUAACUCCGUGCCAGCAGCCGCGGUAAUACGGGGGGAGCAAGCGUUGUUCGGAUUUACUGGGCGUAAAGGGCGCGUAGGCGGUCAGCACAAGUCAGUUGUGAAAUCUCCGGGCUUAACUCGGAAAGGUCAACUGAUACUGUGCGACUA